GUGUUAUUGAUAUCUAUUACGAGCAAACAAAGGUAACAAUACUUGCAUAAUAAUUCUUUAAAAAAAAAAAUACUUGUAUUAUAAUAUAGUUGCAUCACGCUUUUGAGAACAAGGUCCUAGAAGCAUAAUCUUUUCAAAUAAGAAAGGUCACAGAAGUAUAAAUUAAAAUGCGAGAAAUUUUUAAAUUUGGAAAAACAUUGUGAUGCCCAUGAUAAAUUAUAAACUAAUUAGAAGUAACAUGAAAUUUAUUUUAACUUAAUUUUCAUGCUUAAACGCAAUGACAUUGUUCCAUAUGACAAUGUGGAUAUUCGGGAUGAAUACAUGGAUCAUUUGCACAAUCAUCAUCAGUUCCGCAGGGGAGUAAACCUGUAUGUCAAACAAAAAUAUAUGAAUGUUAAUAUAAGGGGAUAAAAUACUUUAUAUAUACCACUAUAUAAAGUUAAAUCCAGAGUUAAUUAAUGUUUGACUACUUUUAUUAUCAGACCUUUUCUUGGACAUAUAUCUCCUUAGCAACUCAAUUAUUUUUAUUCUUUUUCAAAAUUAAAUUAAAUUCAAAUCAAUGCCAUAACUAUAGAGAUUUUGAAAACUAAUUUACCUAUUUUAUUUCCAAAUUUAAACAACAUAAAUAUUAUAAAACAAAAAUAAAAUAAAAUGAUAAAAUAAAUAUAUUGGAAUACAAUACAAAAAUAUGAAAAACUAUGUGCGUUAAUGUUUACCUUUUCACUAUUAUAUAUGAUAAAGAAGAAAUAUUGAAAUGUGUGAGAAAAAGAACUUACUGUGAACGUUACUAGUUACAAUAAGAAUUAGGGAAAUAAAGAUGACAAAAGCAUACACAAUUUUUAUUAUUCCUCCCAUAUUUU
rnacentral:lncRNA from 1 species